rnacentral:tRNA from 1 species
UUCUCGGCCAGGUGGGUGUGCAGCCGCACGCCCUUGUCGCGGGCGAGGAUUGCGGCGUCUCGCAUCAGUUCCCGGCUGACCGAGAAG